UACAGAGGGGGCAAGCGUUUAUUCGGAAUUAUUGGGCGUAAAGGGCGCGUAGGCGGCUUUGCAAGUGACGGGUGAAAUCCCUCGGCUUAACCGAGGAACUGCCUGUCAGACUGUGAGGCUUGAGACCGGGAGAGGUGAGUGGAAUUCCCAGUGUAGCGGUGAAAUGCGUAGAUAUUGGGAGGAACACCAGUGGCGAAGGCGGCUCACUGGACCGGAACUGGACGCUGAGGCGCGAAAGCGUGGGGAGCAAACA
rnacentral:rRNA from 1 species